GGAGUUAGCCGGUGCUUCUUCUGUGAGUGAUGUCCUUCCUGCCGGCUAUUAACCCGCAGGCCUUCUUCCUCACUGAAAGUGCUUUACAACCCGAAGGCCUUCUUCACACACGCGGCAUGGCUGGAUCAGGGUUGCCCCCAUUGUCCAAUAUUCCCCACUGCUGCCUCCCGUAGGAGUCUGGGCCGUGUCUCAGUCCCAGUGUGGCUGAUCAUCCUCUCAGACCAGCUACGGAUCGUCGCCUUGGUGAGCCGUUACCUCACCAACCAGCUAAUCCGACAUAGGCUCAUCCGAUAGCGCGAGGCCCGAAGGUCCCCCGCUUUCCCCCGUAGGGCGUAUGCGGUAUUAGCCUGGGUUUCCCCAGGUUAUCCCCCACUACCGGGCAGAUUCCUAUGCAUUACUCACCCGUCCGCCGCUCGCCACCAGGGAGCAAGCUCCCCGUGCUGCCGCUCGACUUGCAUGUGUUAGGCCUGCCGCCAGCGUUCAAUCUGAGCCAUAGACUAACAACUCGACGUACGUAGACGGGCGGUCGGUCGGACGGACGGCCGACUAGUAG
rnacentral:rRNA from 1 species